AUUCUGGGUAUUAUUGGCGUUGGGGCGGGUUUAUUAGCUUUAAUAGCCUAUUUUCCAGGUAAUUUUGCCGCUAUUGAACCUCUCCAUCCUUUAAUUCUUUUAACCUUAUUGUCACUUUCCCUGACCAUGGUGACAACGGCGAUUUUGUUAGCCCGGCGCUCGGAACAAUUCAGCGUGGUUUUAGUCUGGGGAAUGUUGGUUUCUUUGUUUAUUUUUGUCAAUUCUCCCCUGUGGAUCAGCGAAUAGUUUAACAGAAGAAGAUAAGACUAGUAGAGAUGAAAGUCCAGUAGUAUAUGUAUCAGACGAGGAAGAAGAGGGUGAAAGCCCCGUAACCGAAAACCUGACCGGCCCUAGAGGUACCCUGAGUAGCACCGGACACGUGAAACCUGGUGUGAAGUCACGCAGACCACUGCGUAAGGCUAAAUACAGAAUGUCGACCGAUAGUGAAGAGUACCGCGAGGGAAAGGUGAAAAGCACCCCUGUUAGGGGAGUGAAAAGUACCUGAAACCUGUUGCUUACAAGCGGUCGGAGCCCCCUCGUGGGGUGACGGCGUACCUUUUGCAUAAUGGGUCUGGGAGUUAACGUAAGGAGCCAGCCUAAGGUCCCUCAGGACCGGAGGCGCAGCGAAAGCGAGUCUGAACAGGGCGCAUAGUUCCUUGCGUUAUACCCGAAGCGGAGGUGAUCUACCCAUGACCAGGUUGAAGCCCAAGUAACAUUGGGUGGAGGACCGAACUGAUGGCACUUGAGAAUGCCCCGGAUGAGUUGUGGGUAGGAGUGAAAGGCUAAUCAAACCCCGUAAUAGCUGGUUCUCUCCGAAAUAUAUUUAGGUAUAGCGUCCAGCGCUGACCCGUGGGGGUAGAGCACUGAAAAGGCUAGGGGACACACCCGUCUACCAACCCUUAUCAAACUCCGAAUACCACGGGGCGAAGCUGGGCAGUCAGGCAGUGGGGGAUAAGCUUCAUUGCCGAGAGGAAAACAGUCCAGACCACCAAUUAAGGCCCCAAAGACGUAGCUAAGUGGAUUAAAGAAUGUGAACUUGCACAGACAAUAGGGAUGUUGGCUUAGAGGCAGCCACCAUUUAAACAGUGCGUAACAGCUGACCUAUCGAGUGAGUUUGCGUCUAAGAUGAUCGGGACUAAGCGACGCGCCGAAGUUGUGGGCUGCAGCAAUGCAGCAGUAGGAGAGCGUUCCGGCCAGCGGCGAAGCGGAAGCGGUAAGCGACCGUGGAGCGGCCGGAAGUGAGUAUCCAGACAUAAGUAACGAUAAGAAUGGUCAAAAUCCAUUCCGCCGUAAGGAUAAGGUUUCCAGGGCAAGGGUCGUCCCCCCCUGGGUUAGUCGGGAGCUAAGCCGAGGCCGUAAGGAGUAGGCGAUGCACAUCAGGUUAAUAUUCCUGAACCAAGUAGAGAGGACGGGAUCGUGGAGUCAGCAGACCUUACUGACUUGGCAGUCCAAGGCUACGGCCGAGGACGCGCUGGCGAAGCGAUCUCCAGGAAAAGCCUCUACACUAAGCCCGUACCGCAAACCGACACAGGUAUCCGGGAUGAGCAUUCUAAGGCGCGUGAGUUAAACCUCCUCAAGGAACUCGACAAAUUAACCCCGUAUCUUCGGUAUAAGGGGUGCUCCGGGCAACCGGAGUCGCAGUGAAGAGGCCCUACCGACUGUUUAGCAAAAACACAGCUCUCUGCUAAGUCGCAAGACGACGUAUAGGGAGUGACGUGUGACCAAUGCGGAAAGGUGAAAGCUGGAGCUGCAAGGUUCCGGUCUAAGCCCCCGUGAAUGUCGGCCGUAACUAUAACGGUCCUAAGGUAGCGAAAUUCCUUGUCGGGUAAGUUCCGACCUGCACGAAUGGCGUAACGAUGGCCACACUGUCUCCUCCCGAGACUCAGCGAAGUUGAAAUGUUUGUGAU
rnacentral:rRNA from 1 species